GAUGAACGCUGGCGGCGUGCCUAAUACAUGCAAGUAGAACGCUGAAGAGAGGAGCUUGCUCUUCUUGGAUGAGUUGCGAACGGGUGAGUAACGCGUAGGUAACCUGCCUUGUAGCGGGGGAUAACUAUUGGAAACGAUAGCUAAUACCGCAUAACAAUGGAUGACACAUGUCAUUUAUUUGAAAGGGGCAAUUGCUCCACUACAAGAUGGACCUGCGUUGUAUUAGCUAGUAGGUGAGGUAACGGCUCACCUAGGCGACGAUACAUAGCCGACCUGAGAGGGUGAUCGGCCACACUGGGACUGAGACACGGCCCAGACUCCUACGGGAGGCAGCAGUAGGGAAUCUUCGGCAAUGGGGGCAACCCUGACCGAGCAACGCCGCGUGAGUGAAGAAGGUUUUCGGAUCGUAAAGCUCUGUUGUAAGUCAAGAACGAGUGUGAGAGUGGAAAGUUCACACUGUGACGGUAGCUUACCAGAAAGGGACGGCUAACUACGUGCCAGCAGCCGCGGUAAUACGUAGGUCCCGAGCGUUGUCCGGAUUUAUUGGGCGUAAAGCGAGCGCAGGCGGUUAGAUAAGUCUGAAGUUAAAGGCUGUGGCUCAACCAUAGUUCGCUUUGGAAACUGUCAAACUUGAGUGCAGAAGGGGAGAGUGGAAUUCCAUGUGUAGCGGUGAAAUGCGUAGAUAUAUGGAGGAACACCGGUGGCGAAAGCGGCUCUCUGGUCUGUAACUGACGCUGAGGCUCGAAAGCGUGGGGAGCGAACAGG
rnacentral:rRNA from 1 species